GAUGAACGCUAGCUACAGGCUUAACACAUGCAAGUCGAGGGGCAGCAUUGGAGUAGCAAUACUUCAGAUGGCGACCGGCGCACGGGUGAGUAACACGUAUCCAACCUGCCGCUUACUCGGGGAUAGCCUUUCGAAAGAAAGAUUAAUACCCGAUGGUAUAAAGAGUUCGCAUGUUCUCUUUAUUAAAGAAUUUCGGUAAGCGAUGGGGAUGCGUUCCAUUAGAUUGUUGGCGGGGUAACGGCCCAACAAGUCUACGAUGGAUAGGGGUUCUGAGAGGAAGGUCCCCCACAUUGGAACUGAGACACGGUCCAAACUCCUACGGGAGGCAGCAGUGAGGAAUAUUGGUCAAUGGACGCGAGUCUGAACCAGCCAAGUAGCGUGAAGGAUGACUGCCCUAUGGGUUGUAAACUUCUUUUAUAAGGGAAUAAAGUGAGGGACGUGUCCCUUUUUGUAUGUACCUUAUGAAUAAGGAUCGGCUAACUCCGUGCCAGCAGCCGCCGCCGUAA
rnacentral:rRNA from 1 species